UACGUAGGGGGCAAGCGUUGUCCGGAAUUAUUGGGCGUAAAGAGCGCGUAGGCGGCCAGAUAAGUCCGGUGUGAAAGUCACAGGCUCAACCUGUGAAUGCCGCUGGAAACUGUCUGGCUAGAGUCCGGGAGGGGCGAGUGGAAUUCCUGGUGUAGAGGUGAAAUUCGUAGAUAUCAGGAGGAACACCAGUGGCGAAAGCGGCUUCCUGGCCCGACAUUGACGCUCAUGUACGAAAGCGUGGGGAGCAAACAGG
rnacentral:rRNA from 1 species